rnacentral:rRNA from 1 species
CGGCCUUCGGGUUGUAAACCUCUUUCAGUAGGGAAGAAGCGAAAGUGACGGUACCUGCAGAAGAAGCACCGGCUAACUACGUGCCAGCAGCCGCGGUAAUACGUAGGGUGCGAGCGUUAUCCGGAAUUAUUGGGCGUAAAGAGCUCGUAGGCGGUUUGUCGCGUCUGUCGUGAAAGUCCGGGGCUUAACCCCGGAUCUGCGGUGGGUACGGGCAGACUAGAGUGCAGUAGGGGAGACUGGAAUUCCUGGUGUAGCGGUGGAAUGCGCAGAUAUCAGGAGGAACACCGAUGGCGAAGGCAGGUCUCUGGGCUGUAACUGACGCUGAGGAGCGAAAGCAUGGGGAGCGAACAGGAUUAGAUACCCUGGUAGUCCAUGCCGUAAACGUUGGGCACUAGGUGUGGGGACCAUUCCACGGUUUCCGCGCCGCAGCUAACGCAUUAAGUGCCCCGCCUGGGGAGUACGGCCGCAAGGCUAAAACUCAAAGGAAUUGACGGGGGCCCGCACAAGCGGCGGAGCAUGCGGAUUAAUUCGAUGCAACGCGAAGAACCUUACCAAGGCUUGACAUGUUCUCGAUCGCCGUAGAGAUACGGUUUCCCCUUUGGGGCGGGUUCACAGGUGGUGCAUGGUUGUCGUCAGCUCGUGUCGUGAGAUGUUGGGUUAAGUCCCGCAACGAGCGCAACCCUCGUUCCAUGUUGCCAGCACGUCGUGGUGGGGACUCAUGGGAGACUGCCGGGGUCAACUCGGAGGAAGGUGAGGACGACGUCAAAUCAUCAUGCCCCUUAUGUCUUGGGCUUCACGCAUGCUACAAUGGCCGGUACAAUGGGUUGCGAUACUGUGAGGUGGAGCUAAUCCCAAAAAGCCGGUCUCAGUUCGGAUUGGGGUCUGCAACUCGACCCCAUGAAGUCGGAGUCGCUAGUAAUCGCAGAUCAGCAACGCUGCGGUGAAUACGUUCCCGGGCCUUGUACACACCGCCCGUCAAGUCACGAAAGUCUGGUAACACCCGAAGCC